rnacentral:lncRNA from 1 species
AUUCAUUUCCCCCUUGGUGUGGAGAACACAGCAGUACACCAGGGCCCCUCUGUCUGCUGGUGAUUGGAGGAGAAAGCAAGCCAUCUAUUGAAACAUGCCAGCGUCUUUUUUUAAUGGAAGAUCAUCUAUGAAAAUCGGAAAAUGGAAGAGGACCUUCUACAAUGCUACUCAAAGCCAGGAAAUAUUUUUAGCAUAGUUAAUAACAGAUCGAGGGAUAAGACAGUUGAGAAAUUCAUUCUCAAAAGUAUAAAAGGCGUGACUGUGAGACCGGUAUUUCCUUCCUUCAUUCAUUUAAACAAUAUUUACUGAGUGCCUACAGAUUACUAAACACUGCUCUAGGAGGUAGGGAAACAUCUAUGAAUAAAACAGUUAGAAAUCCCUGUCCUCAGUGACCUUAUUUAUAUUCUAGAGUUGGGAGUUUACAUUCUAAUGCUUCAUGUUGAGACUAGAUCUAUGAGGAUGGGUUCUCUUAUUGCCUCUAGCCACAGAAUGGACCAGAAGAUCUCCUUAAUUCCAUACAAGGAAAUUAAUGACUGGCAACCUGAGUCAAAUGCCAUUGAGAGGGAAAAACGUGCAGGGACAAGAACCGGAGAGUUUUAAGAAACCAAAAGGCCUGUUGGAGAGAAAAUGAAUUUGACGUUCCACAAACAAGAAAAGACCUGUGCAGUACAGGCCAAAGGCCUCUGACACCCACUAAGGAUCUUAAAUAGUAAGCCCGACAGAGUAGAGGCACCUUACCCAAGAUAGUUUCUGUAUACAUGGCUACAGGCCUCUCAAACCCGGAGGAAGAACUGCCUUCUGAAUACACUGCUGUGACUGACCAAUCUAGAAAAUGUCUCUUCAGCUUUACAUUUCUGCUUGGGUUUCAGGGUUUUGCUUUUAUUUUAUUUUACUUUGUUAGUGUUUGAGGGGAAAGGUGUUUUGUUGGGUUGUGCUGUAUUUAUUUUCAGCAGUUGACUACACUACCCAACCUGCUAAUGUUGAGGACCUAUCUAUCUGUGUUAUGUAUGGCCAUCUUGAUAUUUUAAAUAGAAUAGCUUUUUUAACCCAAUCGUUUUCAAAUAUAUUAUAUUUAACACCAUUUCACCCAAAAGAUGAAUAUGUAAACCAGACAGAAGAAGAGCUGCUCGGAUUAGAACUCAGAGCAGGUGGGGAGGGAGCAGGAGUCCUGCCUGUCCUCUCAUCACAGCGGCUUCGACGGGAAGGCUUCAUUAACCCCCUAGAGAUGCACCAAGCACAGACUGAAAACCUAACCUGUCUGCAUUGGUGGGGAGUGCUGCUGCCUGGCCACCUGGUCUAAAAUACAUGAUCCAAAAUACAGCAUCAACUCAUAUUGCUGAAAUGAGAUGUGUGAGAAAGAUAUUAGUCAUUUCAAUAUAAACAAAGAGAAUCCUGAUUAAAAGACUUCCCAUGGAAUAAUUAGUUGUCAGAAUAUAAGAGCUGAAAAUAUCCAUGGCUAACAGAGUGACAACCAGGGCUUGUACUGACUACAUGAUGAAUAGUGGAAGACAACCAUGGUGAAGUGAAAACAAAAAACAAAUA